rnacentral:lncRNA from 1 species
GUUUAGUACAACAAAGGAUGAUAUCAGCACUUUUGGAGAGUACAUCGGGAGCAAGGAUUUGGUUGAUUACAUAUUGGCUCUUGAAUCUACAUCAGUUGUGGAAAACCCAUCACAAUGUGAGGAUAUUCAACAGUCAGAGGAAGCAGAUGACAAAGAAAGCAAUGAAAGCAGUAAGAUUGAACUGAAGCAACUACCAGAUCACCUUCGCUAUGCAUUCUUGGGGGAUAAGUCUGCAUUUCCAGUAAUUAUUUCUUCAUCACUCACCAGAGACGAAGAGGAUAGAUUAUUGAAAGUGUUGAGGGAUCAUAAGGCCGCUUUGGGAUGGUCAAUAGCUGACAUCAAGGGGAUAAGUCCUACAAUCUGCAUGCACAAAAUCCUCAUGGAAGAGUCUUACAAGCCAUCCAUCGAACAUCAAAGAAGGUUAAACCCAGCAAUGAAAGAAGUGGUUUGAGCGGAGAUUCUAAAGCUACUAAAGGCAGGAAUCAUUUUUGCCAUUUCAGACAGUGAAUGGGUCAGCCCAGUGCAAGUGGUACCAAAGAAAGGAGGGAUGACAGUAGUUAAGAACGACAACAAUGAGCUAAUUCCGACAAGAACGGUAACUGGCUGGAGGGUGUGCAUUGAUUACAGGAAACUGAAUAAGGCAACAAGAAAGGACCAUUUCCCACUGCCGUUCAUUGAUCAAAUGUUGGACAGAUUAGCUGGCUACUCUCACUAUUGCUUUCUUGAUGGAUAUUCGGGCUACAACCAGAUUGCUAUAGCACCAGAAGAUCAGGAAAAGACAACCUUCACCUGUCCAUAUGGAACUUUUGCCUACAGACGGAUGCCAUUCGGGUUAUGCAAUGCACCAGCCACUUUUCAGAGAUGCAUGAUGGCAAUCUUUGCAGACAUGGUUGAAGACAUCAUGGAGGUAUUUAUGGAUGACUUCUCGGUGUUCGGUACUUCUUUUAAUAACUGCCUUCAUAAUCUCUCCUUAGUGCUGCAACGCUGUGAGGAAAGGAAUUUAGUUCUCAACUGGGAAAAGUGCCACUUCAUGGUACAAGAAGGUAUUGUGCUAGGCCAUCAUGUUUCGGCGAGGGGGUUGGAAGUGGACAGAGCAAAAAUUGAUACAAUUGAAAAGCUACCACCACCUACCAAUGUCAAAGGCAUUCGAAGUUUCUUAGGGCAUGCUGGAUUCUACAGGAGAUUCAUCAAAGACUUCUCAAAAGUGGCAAAACCCCUAUGUAACCUUUUGGAGAAGGACACAACGUUUGUAU